GGCGAGGCAGGGCGGGGCGUUGGAGAUAAACGGACUGCAAUCCCAACCACACUGUGAUGGACAUCGGCUCAGUUGGUGACUGUUUUAUUUGAUCUUUUCUACUAUAUUCUAGUAUUUGGAAUUAAACUCGGGAUGAAUCGGGGAUGAAGAUGGGAAGGGUAAAAGGAACAUGUGUGACAGCGUUUGACUCCGGAGGAGAGCCUCAUCUCUGCAACUCUUUCUCUCCACAAGAUCACAAACCAGGACCUGGUGCAUGGGAGGACUGCCUGCAGAGAGCAUUCCACCAUUCUUACAUUGAGCAUUCAUAAGUUCAUGCAGCACCCGUCUCCAGCCAGGAGCUGGUAUUUGUGCCACGGGCGGCGCUGCCUCCAGCUCCCCGCCGUCUUCUUCAGAUCUGUGGUGCUGGAGUCGCGAGGCCAGGGGCGGAGCGGGACCAAGGUGGCACCGUGGUGGCCACGUCCCUUGGGCGUAGAGGGGCGGGGCAUGCAAACAGAGGCUCGUUCUCCGGGAAAGAUGGAGGCGGGGGGAGCAAAAGGAGGUGCGAAAGUUGACCAGGAAUGUGGAGGACAUCUACAACUUCAGUGGCCUGGAGAUUACACAGGAUAGAAAGCCAGAAAUGUCGACUGGGGUGACAUUGCUCACCGUGACUUCAAUGUGGAUGGCGGAGAGGACGGUGGCGGCGAAGGCAGUCCAUUAGAUAUCGCUUUUUGGCCCUUUGGCUAAGAUCAAGUGUAGUAUCUGUUCUUAUCAGUUUAACAUCUAUAUACAUUCUCUACCUGAGAACGAAUUACUAAAUGGAUCUUUAGGGCAAGGAGCUGGACUAAGAGCUUGCUCCGUCUACUCCACGUAUCGACCUGGUAUUGCAGUGUUUCCAGGAACGGUGCCCUCCUAUGAAGUGUGAACAGCAGACUGAGUGUGUUCCGGUUUGCAUUUUCCUGUAAUCUUUCAAUAUGGCGUGUCGCUCUUUCUUUUUUAACGGUGCAGAUCCUGUUAGUUUCUUCUGUUUUUUUUAACUUAGGUUCUUAUAUGGUGUGAAAGGGAAAUGCUUUGUUUUUUAAUACCUUUGCUCUUUGUUGUAGGUUUGAUGGAGUUCAGCAAGAAAGGCUCUCUGCUCUAGAAAGUUUGCUUUAACUUUUCUAAAUGCACAAUUCAAACCAAGUAGUAAGUGUGUUUAUUAAAAACAACAACAACAAAAACUAAACUAAACCACAAGAAAAUUAAGUAACUUGUCCUAGCUCGCCUAACUAGAAAUUAGCCAAACUUAGCUUUGAACCAAUGCUACGAAAGGGAAAAGAGGAACAGAGGGACACGUGGAAACUGAGAACACAGGUUGUCUUGUGAUUCGUCUACAGUCUUGGAAAUUCUUUACCAUUUCUCUUAUACCUGGGCCUGACACUCAAGAAGGAAGUUGUCACUUGAUUAUUUGAUAAAGGAGGUGAAAGUGGCACUCUCACCCCACCCUUCAUCUUCUGUGUUAGCCAGGGAAGGUGUUAAUGAACAAAUGGGAGUGAGGAGGGGCGGAGUGAACGAAGGGCCCAGCUUGUCAUAGCAGCACCAAUACUGCGGACCUACCCCAGUAGGUCUUGACAGCCUCACAUCUGUAGCCUUUUCUCCCCACAAGAACUCAGCCCAGGACCUAGAGCACGGAGGACUGACUGCAGAGACCAUUCUACCAUUCCUACAUCGAGCAUUCACAUGUUCAUGGAGUGCCUGCUACGUUGAAGGCACCGCUGUAGCUUCUGAGCACACAGCACUCGGUGAAAUGGAUGAGGACCUGCCUCAUGGAGUACACACUAGAGAGGGGAGAGGGGAGAGACAGGCAAUAACUACAGGAGUUAAUUGCAGGUGGUGAUACAUGUCAUGAAGGAAAAUAGAAGAGGGAGAUGUGCUAGACAGGGAACGUGGGAGGGAACUACUCUACAUGGGGGAGGGGUAUGGCUCAUGAAGGCUCUCCAUUGCGACAUUAGAGCCGAGGUUUCAGUGACAAAGAGAAAGGUAAGCAUUCCAGACAGAGGGACAGACUAGUUGGGACCUACCCGCUUCCCCGCGUUGGCUCGCCCAGCUGGGUCAGAUGCCAGCUGCUGAGUGGAUGUUCUUCCUCAGAGCUGUCUCCCCACCAGACUAAGCGCUGAGCCCAGGGGCUGGUUCUUCCCAUCCACAGCUCCACAGUGCCCAGCACUGUGCCUGCCGCACUGUAGGCAAUCAGGACGGGAAAUCUGGCGGGAAUUCACGAUUGCAUGAUGGAGUGAUUACAGGUACUCCAGGGGCAUCCAUCCGUAGCUGGAGGUCUCCUGCUCUGGGAUCCUUGAGACCUUGGUGGGGGUCGGCAGGGAAUGCCUGUAAAGCCCUGCACCUCUAGGCAAGGUCUGGGCAGGACUGAACUCUCAGACCUUCACUGGGGAGAAGGGGUUUCUUGGAGGAGAAUAACAAGCCAUGGGAGAAAUGACACGGGAGAGAGAGGCCCCCCCUCAAGGCCUGGCGGGCUGAAACCCUGGGCUGAGAGUCCUCGUGAGUCCUGUCCCUCACCAGGAGACUGGCUUGGAAAAGCCACUUUCCCCUGGGAGCCUCGGUUUCCUCGGUGUGUAGGAGGCGCUUAUGAUUCCCUACCCCUUUCCCGAGGACAACCCACGCGCUAGAGCAGGGGACGGUACAGGGUGGGUGGAGCUCACCUAGGAAACGGUUGGGGACAUCCUUGUCUCCGCAGCAUCCCAACCAAGUCCCUGUCUGAGUGGCAAGUGAAGGGAAGAGAAGGGUCUGCAGGAGUAGGGUGGGGAGGGGGAGAAGCGGAUGCCCGGGAGCAGCUGCAGCCUGGGAAUCACAAGUCCCAUAUUCCAACCCCCAGCUUUGCUUUGCUUCUUAAGCAUAAAAUGGGGAAAACGCAACCUACUUCUGAGAAUGAGCAUGAAAAGAAAAAAAAAAAAAAAAAAGUGUGACAGGGCCUUUCAGGUACCUUUUCCCCUACCGGACGCCCUUUCAGAGGGAACUCCCCCCCCAAACCAAGUGCCAGGCCCAGCCAAGGGCUGGAAAGGAGCAGAUGCUGUCCCCUGGUGGAUGUGUCUGUCACUGCCUGAUCCCUGAAGAACACUGGAGGAGUAAGGGGGGGAAGCUGUACGGGUUGCUUUGCCCCCUGGAGUCUUCCUCUCAAACAGGGCCUUUCCUACAGUUUGAGGUUGAGAAGAGAAAAUCCACCCUUUCAAGUUUUUCCCUGGAGGUGGGAUCAUAUUUAAAGGGACAUCAUUUGAGCAGGAAAUGUCAUGUCAAUUACAUUUCCCAUGCUUUCCUCUGAGGGCCUAAUGGCAGGGGCAGGGCAAGCUGAGGCAGGAGGAGGCUGCAGGGCGGGGAAGGCUUGAGGAGCUCACUUGCAGCCGUGUGGUGGUGUCUGCGGGGACAGAUGUGAAACCGUGCCCCAAAGGGUUAAACAGAAACUGGUGACCAACAGAAAUUCUUGAGUUCGUAAUACAGGUAAGGGAAGAGCUUUCUAAAAACCCCUUGGCUUGUAACCUGCCUUCACUGACCAAGCGUGCCUUAGUUAUUUUUUGACUCCUCAACCAGCCCGAUAGAUAACACCUCUGACCUAUGGGUCCCUGUGGUAACAGGGGCUUCGGUUGCUUUCCGGGAACUUGGAGUCGGCUCCUGUCCAUUUCAAGCUGGCUAGGACUGGUUGGGCCCGCAGACCCUGAAGUCGGGCGUGCGCAGGUGUGGGAUGAACCGCUAUCUGACAUCAGAGGGAUGAAAACUCCACCCUCGGAUCUUGCUAAGCCCCUCCGUUUUUUAAAUUUUUUUUAACAAGCUUCCCAUGAGGAAGCAUGACACUCAGCUAAGCUGGUGCAGAACACGGGUUACCUCACCUCUUCCUGGCCUCCAAUCCCCCUUCCCCAGUCCUGAGACCAAACCUGCUUCUUUAUCCCACAAAGAUCUCAAGCCCCUUGACGUUGCGGGAGUAGACUUGAGAUUUGUUCUCCUGUCUGUCUGUCUCCACGCUUGGCUGCCUUGUGAAUAAACACUUUCUCUGCCGCAAACCUCAGCAUCUCGGCGCAGACGAAGCUGGCUCGGGAACAGGUCCACACGGGGACAGACGAACAGCAUCCCUCUGCACGGAGCCUGACACUUGGGGAGGCCUCGGCUGGAGCAGGGGACUGGGGGGAUUGGCAAGAAACAGUAACUGGAGCCCCAGGAGGGUGAUAAUGCCCCGGAAGCAACAGCCCCAAGGGGAGGGACAACGGAAACUAGAGAGAGGCGGCGGGGCAGAGGCGAGGGGAGAGAGCCAGGCCCACGGCCCGAAGGGAACGUGCCCACCGCCCCGUUGUCCAAGCUGCUGGGCUCCUCGGAGCUGUCACAACAGGGGCCAAUCCCCAGUGACCUUAUAUGUUUGAUUCAGUUUUUUUACUUGACAGGAGAUUUCUCUGCCAAGUCAGCCAUGAUUGUCUGGCCUACGUCGUAAGGAGUGUAGGUUCGAAUAGUGGUUCUCAGAUUUGAGGCUACGUCAGAAUCACCCGGAGGACUGGAUAAAAGCAGAUUGCUCGGGCCACUUCCAGGGUUUCCGACUCAGUCGGUCUUGGGCUCUCGGGCUCAGGAUCUCUGACAAGUCCUGUGGUGAUACGGAUGCUGCGCAGGCUGGGGACUAACUGUACUAUAAGGACCGCUGGCUUGGAAGAUGAGUUCCAAUCCCAGCCUUAACAUUUCCCACUGAGCCCUCGGGGCAGAUUCCUUAUGUCUCUCAGCUUCAACCUCUUCUAUAAAACGGGAUGAAAAUACUUACCUCUUAGCAGCUCUAAGUUUAUCUCAACCAGUAAAAAAAAAAAAAAAAAAAAAAAAAAAAAGUUGGCCCGGGGAGUCAGUUUAAUCUUCCUCACAGAAGAUACAAAGUGACAUGUACAAAUUGACCACCAACUGCCGUUUCUUUUCCAGCGUGUGUGACCUCAAGCAUGGCUCCUCAGUCUUUAACGUGGACACGAGUCCCCUGUGGACCUCAUGAAAAUGCAGAUUCUGGUUCACUAGGGGUGACGGACUGAACCGCGCCCCCAAAGUUCACCUACUGAAGCCCUGUUUGGAGAUGAGGCCUUUGGGAGGCAGUGAGGUUUAGACGAGGUCACGGGGAGGCGGGGCUCCUACUGGGGUGAGUCCCCGUGUGAGAUGAGGCACCAGAGAGCUGCUUCUUUCUCCAACACGUGACGACACGGAGAGAAGUCGGCCAUCUGCAAGCCAAGAAGAGCGCUCUCGCCAGAACCCUCCCAGGCGGGCGCCCCGACGGGGGGCUUCCAGUCUCCAGAACUGUGAGGAAAUAAAUUUCUGUUCUUUGAGCCCCUGGCCUGUGGCGUUUUGUUCCGGCGGCCCUACCAAACUGGGAGCGGAGGUCGGCCUGCUGCCUGCGUUCUGCGUCUCCCACCAGCUCCCGGGUGGUGCGGCCGCUGCUGUACGCGGACCACGCUUUGAGCAGCAAGGGUCUGGAACAGAUGACUGGAAAGCUCCCCGAAAGGCUGUAUAUUUUCCCUGAUGAGGAGGACUUUAAAUGGUCUCCUGCAAAUCUACGACAGAGAUCUGUUCGUGCCGUCCCCAACCCCUAACAGGUCUGGCCCAUCAGAGACGCUCAGCAAAUCACUGUCAGGGAAAGGAGUGGAGGAGCCGAGGGUUGUGUCUGACAGUUGGGGCCGCCUGGCCUCGUGGGAAGAGCUCUGGACUUGGAAGACCUCUGGAAGCGUCGUGGGAACUGGAAAAUACUGCAACGCCUGGCAUUCACCCGUUUGCUCCCUAUUGAAUGGUUGGUCUUUUAUAGUAACUUCCAGGAGCUCUUUAUGUAGUAGAAAGAUAAGUACUUUUUCUGUGGUUUGGGUUGCAAAUAUUUAUCCUUACUCUACUUGUUUUGUCAUCAAUCGCCCGUAACUGAUGUGACACAGGCGGGCGGGUGGAGACAAGGCCAGGCCAGAAGCCGUUCCUGCCCUCAGGGUGCGUCCAACCCAGGAUGGGGACUGGAACACGUGUGAAAGUGGCCAGAACAGCAGGCAGGACACAGGAGGAGACCAGAGAGAGAGAGAGAGGAGCACUUGGGGUAUUUGGACCACAGCAACCCCCUCCUCAGGGAAACCAAAUGAGUGGGUGUCAGACGGCCUGAUACACACAGAUCUGAACAGAGAUCGUGGGACGACGAGAGGCCUUCAGAGUCAUGUCAGGCGCAGGCUAAGCACAUUAGAUAUCGUGUCAUUUGACCCUCAUUUCCGUUCGUUCAACAAAUAUUGAUCAAGUGCCAAGGACAGACGUACCGAGCACUGUCCUGGGUGCUGAGGAUAGAACAGCAAUCAAACUCUGUACCAUCAAGGUGAAAGGCAAUGCAGCCAUGCCGUCUGCAUAUUUGUGAAUUUACGGCUAGAUCUAGGUGUCCGUACGUCUGUAUCUGCAUGCAUAUCUGUGUCAUGUGGCAACCAUGGGUGUCAAUAACGACUUGGCAGCCGGCAGAAAAAUAAAACCAGGUAAAGUGGGGUGUGAAACAGGAAUGCUAAGUGGGGGGUAGGUGGAGGUAAUUCACAGCACUGUAAGAUGGAAUUACCUCUCUUUUACAGCCAAGAAGUGACUUUCCCCAGAGCGCACGUAUUAAGUCAUUCCCGUGGGCUCGCAUUCCCACGUGUAGCUUCACAAGUCCCCUGAUCUGAGCGGCACUGUCAUUCUCCCCAUUCCCCAGUUUAAAGAAACGGAGGCCCCGUGUAGUUAGCAGGCCGCUCCAAUGCAAACCCUGACUGUGCUCCCGUUCAGCUGCGUGACCUCUGGCAAGCCGCUCAGCCUCUCGGCACGUCAGUCUACAACAGUGCUUUCCACUAGAAAUACGUGAGUCACGUGUGGAACUUUAAAUUUUCUUAGACACAGGAGAAAAAUACAGAGACAGGUGGAAUUCAGUUUCGUUGUUUAUUUAACUGAGGAUAUCUAAACUAUGACUUCAA